UGCGGUCCCGAGCGGCGGAGGCGGCCUGGCGGCCGGGGCCGCGCUGCUGCGAGAUGGCGACCGAGGGCGCGGAGGGCUGAGGGCCGCCGCCGGACGAGCGCCCCGCCGGGCCGACGGCUCCGCGCCGAUUUCAUUUUGUGGUUUGCUCGCCGCUCUUGCCACCUUGGCUGCUCGGUCUGCGCGCAGCCCUUUCUCUGCACGACCCGGAGCGGAGCUCCCUCUGCCCCCGUGAUUGGAGGAAACCUUCCCUGCCGAGGGAGAGCCGCGUCUGCUUUGACAUUUUUGCUCUUCCAGGGUAAAAUGUUUUCCGGGGGCUUGGUGUCGCUAUCUUUUUCUAUCCUGAUAAGUUAUCUUUUUGUGGAGGCUAAUGUGCAAAAAGGUUUGAGUUUCUGCUUUAAAAUGCUGUUGGUAGUAGUAGUGGAGAAGAAUUAAAGCCAAAGUUAUCACUUCCCUCCCUUCGGUGUUUUUACCUGGAAUUCCUAGGGUGCAGUUAGUUGCAUGCAGAUUUCUGCAGGAGUUCACGCUUAUCUGUAAACGCACUUUCCGUGCCUCGCUAAAUCUCUGUGUAUUCUACAAGCAAAAUGCACCUUUUUAAAAAAAGAAAGGCGUUCUUUUAUUUAUGUGACUUGUUUUUAGCCAUAAAGUAGUACAUUGUCUGUGGCUGGAAAUUAUCACUCUCCGUAAGAAGUUAAUAUUUUUUCAAGUGAAAACUUAGUGGCCAAGUGUUGGGAGGUACUCAAAUCGAGAAGUGUAAAGUGCGUGGAAUAGUUCUUUGGGACGUGGCUUAUUGACAUUUUCAGGUAGUUCUUCCCUUAAAAUGCAAAGCUGUUCAUAAGACCUACAACACCAGGGCUUUGAAAAGCGGUAACUUAAGAGUUACGUUUUUUUGGAAGCCUCCCAUGAUACAGGAUGUCACUGAGGUUUUUGCCUCCGAAGAAAUAGUAAUCUUUGCUGUUUACCCUAUGAAGGCUGAAAUUUCUUUUGCGACCUUACACAGUUGUUAAGCGGCUGCUGCAUGACUGUGUGAGGUAUUUUGGGGAAUAUAAAGAUGAAGAUGAUAACAGUUUCUGCUGUCUCGGACUAGUUAGGCAGGCAGGACUGUACACAAAUGCCUUGUUUGUCUUUUCGUAUAUAGUUAAGUUUCAUCCAGAAUUCACCCGCAUCUUAUUUGGCAAGAUGGGGUUAGUUCGUAGAGCUGGCUUCUGAAAUCUUUGUUUUGAAGGAUGACUGUGACUUUCUAAAAAAAAUUUUUUUUAUUGAGGUUGUUAUAGUUUACGACUGACUUUUGAUAGGCUGGGAAAGGUAAUCCAAGCAGAGAGAAGGCGCUAAGAGCACAGAGUUCAAACAUUCAGGGGGAAGCAGGUAAUUAUGUUGGAUGGGACAUAAGGUAUUUGUAUCAGUAGAAAGGAUAAAGCUUGAAGUAAGAAUUUGGUCUAGUUUAUGAUUUUUUUAAUGCCAGGCUAAUGACCUUGGUUGGGGGCUUACAGAUGACUUUUGAGUUGGGAAUGAAAUGAUUAAAGCCUUGUUUUCAGAGGCUUAAUCUGGCAGCAGUGGGUAGUGUGAAUUGAAGUAGAGAGAACCUGGGGUAGGAAGACCUUGAUUGCUGUGGUUGUAGGUAGUGAGGGUGUGAACUGUGGUGCUAAUAAGAGGACUGGAAAGGAGGAAGGAAGUAGAGUAGACAGAAUUUGAUGAGACAGGAAAAGAAGAAAGGAAAAAUAGCUGAGAUUGUGAUCCAGGUUGAUUGGGAGAAUAGUGGUACCAUUUGGAACAACAUCCAUGGAAGCUUUAUCUUUGGCAUGUGUGUGUUACUGUACAGCGGUGGCUCUCAGCUUUACUAACCCUUGAAACUAAAGAAAUGUGCUGGCCUGGAAAAUUUCCAUAUGCACCUGUGCUUUCUGGAUAUAAUUUUAGGGGGAUUCCAUGGACCACCUGAAGCUCAUCCGGGGAACCCAUGGGCCAGAGCAUUGGGCUGGGAGCUGCUCUCAGAAUUACCGGGGGGCUUUUUAAAACAAUAGAACCUUCAGAUUCUUCCACUUAUUGCUAAGAACCGCUACUGUAGAGACAGACUAAAUACAUCUAGAGACAGUAUCUCCCUCCUUACACUUGUGUUGUGCUUUACACUUCACAGAGAAUUUGGACUACCUUGUGUUAUUUGCUAUUAUAUUACAGAACGAACUAGCCCAAGAGGUUAAAUGAUUUGCCCUAAGUGUUUCAGUUAGCCAGCGGGUAAAGUGGAAUCAAGAGUUGAUUGGCAAUGAGGGUUUUCCUUGUGGGAAGAUGAAUGCAACUGACUUACCAUCAAUUGGAUAUAGUUACUGCCUUUAAAUGAUCUCAUCAGUAAGGACUAGUAUCCUGGGAGAGUCCUUCUAGUUCUUAACAUUUUGCGAUUCAAGGGUCUUAGAUUUUCAUUGGACUGUCUCUACCCUUCUUGUUUUCCAUAUGUGAGAUUGCUGGUGAGGCUGAGGGGUGGAUUGGGUGGAUGGAGAGCAGACGGCAAUAUCAGAGCAGUCAUUUACCUACUUACUUCCUUUGCUCAGUUUGGGUUGGCAGCGGAGGAGGGAUGUGAAGUGAGUGAGAUAAGAAGCUUCAAGAACUUUUCUCUUCUCUGUUCACGUUUGCCUUACUUAAGAGUACUCCAUCCAGGAAUCCUGUAUCAAGUAAAAAUGGACACUUUACAAAAUAAAUCAAGUGCGGGGUCCUGCCA
rnacentral:lncRNA from 1 species